rnacentral:rRNA from 1 species
AACGAACGCUGGCGGCAUGCCUAACACAUGCAAGUCGAACGAGACCUUCGGGUCUAGUGGCGCACGGGUGCGUAACGCGUGAGAACCUGCCCUUAGGUUCGGAAUAACUCCCCGAAAGGGGUGCUAAUACCGGAUAAUGUCUUCGGACCAAAGAUUUAUCGCCUUUGGAUGGGCCCGCGUUGGAUUAGCUAGUUGGUAGGGUAAAAGCCUACCAAGGCGACGAUCCAUAGCUGGUCUGAGAGGAUGAUCAGCCACACUGGGACUGAGACACGGCCCAGACUCCUACGGGAGGCAGCAGUGGGGAAUAUUGGACAAUGGGCGAAAGCCUGAUCCAGCAAUGCCGCGUGAGUGAUGAAGGCCUUAGGAUUGUAAAGCUCUUUUACCCGGGAUGAUAAUGACAGUACCGGGAGAAUAAGCUCCGGCUAACUCCGUG